UUAGUACAUGCUACAGAACAAAAUAGUCAACUUUUUUGCAACCACAUUUAGCACUACAUCCCUUUUUACAGUUGCAAAAAAUGGUGUUUAGUAGUUAUUCUGGUGCAGGUGGAAGUAAAGUCUGAACUGGCUCUAAUGAAUUGUCGACCAACUUCCAACCCCAGUCUUUUGGGUCUAACUGAUUACCAAGCCACACUUGAACUUGGUAAUAUACCCGAAAAAGAUGUUGAUGAGCAGCCGCUGAGGAGCUCCAUACAUAGCGAGAAGAAAGCGAAUUCCGUUGGUGAUAACUUCUUGUUGUUGUUAGAACGAUAUUUUUGCUUGUAUUACGGCUUCAGUGAUGUAUAUACGUGGUGUACUUAUACAUAUUAUGACGAUUACAACUCUUUCAACUUUUUGAAUCGUGAUAUCUCAAAAACGGUGGCUCUUAGGAAAAAAAGUAUU